rnacentral:lncRNA from 1 species
GAAAAAGAAGCAAAAUAUCUUCAGUUUUACAAUACAAAGUUACAAACUCCAACUUAAAACCAUACAGUUAGCUUGUUGCUCACGUUCUCUGUAAUGACUUUGUAAGCUGGGCCAUUCAAGUAUGUGAAUGAGGUGCCAGAGUCAAAAAUGGCUGUGAAAUCAACAUCAGUGAUCUUGUUUCCCACUGUUAUUCCUGUCAAGCUGAUGUUAUAAGUUGGGCUGCAAUUCAGGAAAGGGUAAGAGUUAAUACAUAUUAAGUCGAAUUCUCCUAAAUCAAGCCAGAAACAGAAGCAACCGCUACAUCAGUGAUCUUGGUUCCCACUGUUAUUCCAGUCAAGCUGAUGUUAUAAGUUGGGCUGCAAUUCAGGAGAGUAUAAGAGUUAAUACAUAUUCCGCCGAAUUCUCCUCAAUCAAUCCAGAAACAGAAGCAAACGUGAAACACAGAAUUAUCAAAGUGACUUGCUUACUGUA